rnacentral:rRNA from 1 species
AUUGAACGCUGGCGGCAUGCUUUACACAUGCAAGUCGAACGGUAACAGGCCGCAAGGUGCUGACGAGUGGCGAACGGGUGAGUAAUGCAUCGGAACGUGCCCAGUCGUGGGGGACAACGCAGCGAAAGCUGUGCUAAUACCGCAUACGAUCUAUGGAUGAAAGCGGGGGACCGUAAGGCCUCGCGCGAUUGGAGCGGCCGAUGUCAGAUUAGGUAGUUGGUGGGGUAAAGGCCCACCAAGCCAACGAUCUGUAGCUGGUCUGAGAGGACGACCAGCCACACUGGGACUGAGACACGGCCCAGACUCCUACGGGAGGCAGCAGUGGGGAAUUUUGGACAAUGGGCGCAAGCCUGAUCCAGCAAUGCCGCGUGCAGGUAGAAGGCUUUCGGGUUGUAAACUGCUUUUGUACGGAACGAAACGGUCUGGGUUAAUACCCUGGGCUAAUGACGGUACCGUAAGAAUAAGCACCGGCUAACUACGUGCCAGCAGCCGCCGUAA